CUUCUCCUUUCGGGGAAGGUAGCGGCGGACGGGUGAGUAACACGUAGGCAACCUGCCCACAAGACUGGGAUAACAUUCGGAAACGAAUGCUAAGACCGGAUACGCAAGCCUGGGGCAUCCCGGGCUUGGGAAACACGGCGCAAGCUGUGGCUUGUGGAUGGGCCUGCGGCGCAUUAGCUAGUUGGUGGGGUAACGGCCCACCAAGGCGACGAUGCGUAGCCGACCUGAGAGGGUGAACGGCCACACUGGGACUGAGACACGGCCCAGACUCCUACGGGAGGCAGCAGUAGGGAAUCUUCCACAAUGGGCGAAAGCCUGAUGGAGCAACGCCGCGUGAGUGAGGAAGGCUUUCGGGUCGUAAAGCUCUGUUGCCAGGGAAGAAUAAGGGCCAGUUAACUGCUGGUCCGAUGACGGUACCUGAGAAGAAAGCCCCGGCUAACUACGUGCCAGCAGCCGCGGUAAUACGUAGGGGGCAAGCGUUGUCCGGAAUUAUUGGGCGUAAAGCGCGCGCAGGCGGUUCUUUAAGUCUGGUGUAUAAGUGCGGGGCUCAACCCCGUGAGGCACUGGAAACUGGGGAACUUGAGUGCAGAAGAGGAGAGCGGAAUUCCACGUGUAGCGGUGAAAUGCGUAGAGAUGUGGAGGAACACCAGUGGCGAAAGCGGCUCUCUGGACUGUAACUGACGCUGAGGCGCGAAAGCGUGGGGAGCAAACANGAUUAGAUACCCUGGUAGUCCACGCCGUAAACGAUGAGUGCUAGGUGUUGGGGGGAUCGCCCCCUCGGUGCCGAAGUUAACACAUUAAGCACUCCGCCUGGGGAGUACGCUCGCCAGAUGNAACUCAAAGGAAUUGACGGGGAC
rnacentral:rRNA from 1 species